GAUGAACGCUGGCGGCGUGCCUAAUACAUGCAAGUCGAACGAGUUCUCGUUGAAUCUCGGUGCUUGCACCGAGAUUCAACAUGGAACGAGUGGCGGACGGGUGAGUAACACGUGGGUAACCUGCCCUUAAGUGGGGGAUAACAUUUGGAAACAGAUGCUAAUACCGCAUAGAUCCAAGAACCGCAUGGUUCUUGGCUGAAAGAUGGCGUAAGCUAUCGCUUUUGGAUGGACCCGCGGCGUAUUAGCUAGUUGGUGAGGUAAUGGCUCACCAAGGCGAUGAUACGUAGCCGAACUGAGAGGUUGAUCGGCCACAUUGGGACUGAGACACGGCCCAAACUCCUACGGGAGGCAGCAGUAGGGAAUCUUCCACAAUGGACGCAAGUCUGAUGGAGCAACGCCGCGUGAGUGAAGAAGGCUUUCGGGUCGUAAAACUCUGUUGUUGGAGAAGAAUGGUCGGCAGAGUAGCUGUUGUCGGCGUGACGGUAUCCAACCAGAAAGCCACGGCUAACUACGUGCCAGCAGCCGAGGUAAUACGUAGGUGGCAAGCGUUAUCCGGAUUUAUUGGGCGUAAAGCGAGCGCAGGCGGUUUUUUAAGUCUGAUGUGAAAGCCCUCGGCUUAACCGAGGAAGCGCAUCGGAAACUGGGAAACUUGAGUGCAGAAGAGGACAGUGGAACUCCAUGUGUAGCGGUGAAAUGCGUAGAUAUAUGGAAGAACACCAGUGGCGAAGGCGGCUGUCUGGUCUGUAACUGACGCUGAGGCUCGAAAGCAUGGGUAGCGAACAGGAUUAGAUACCCUGGUAGUCCAUGCCGUAAACGAUGAAUGCUAGGUGUUGGAGGGUUUCCGCCCUUCAGUGCCGCAGCUAACGCAUUAAGCAUUCCGCCUGGGGAGUACGACCGCAAGGUUGAAACUCAAAGGAAUUGACGGGGGCCCGCACAAGCGGUGGAGCAUGUGGUUUAAUUCGAAGCAACGCGAAGAACCUUACCAGGUCUUGACAUCUUUUGAUCACCUGAGAGAUCAGGUUUCCCCUUCGGGGGCAAAAUGACAGGUGGUGCAUGGUUGUCGUCAGCUCGUGUCGUGAGAUGUUGGGUUAAGUCCCGCAACGAGCGCAACCCUUAUGACUAGUUGCCAGCAUUUAGUUGGGCACUCUAGUAAGACUGCCGGUGACAAACCGGAGGAAGGUGGGGAUGACGUCAAAUCAUCAUGCCCCUUAUGACCUGGGCUACACACGUGCUACAAUGGAUGGUACAACGAGUUGCGAGACCGCGAGGUCAAGCUAAUCUCUUAAAGCCAUUCUCAGUUCGGACUGUAGGCUGCAACUCGCCUACACGAAGUCGGAAUCGCUAGUAAUCGCGGAUCAGCACGCCGCGGUGAAUACGUUCCCGGGCCUUGUACACACCGCCCGUCACACCAUGAGAGUUUGUAACACCCGAAGCCGGUGGCGUAACCCUUUUAGGGAGCGAGCCGUCUAAGGUGGGACAAAUGAUUAGGGUG
rnacentral:rRNA from 1 species